rnacentral:lncRNA from 1 species
AGACACUGUGCUUGCUAAAAGGCAGUGUCAUAAGAUGGAGACCCCACAGCAUCCCAGAAAAACAGCUGUUUUGUGAAGACAAAUUUCCUGGUUAAUGCAUACAAACAGUCAAAUGCCUAGGAUACCAUGCCGUCCACACUGACACACUUCUGUUCUCACAUCAAGUGCUCUUUAAUGAUCUCCAAGCCUUUCCUACUAACACCUCCAGACCUCACUUCCUCUCACUACAGGAACAUUGCUGGUGACGAAUGA